UAACCAAUAUGAAUAAUAAGUCAUAUUCUUUCAAAAAAGCGAGAGAACACAAAGUAAUUUUAGCAGAAUGGCUACUAAUGUUGCUCAUCUAAAGCUUUUAUGCUGUAUUCUUUUUGUGGCUUUUCUUUUCACUUCAGACGCAAGAAGUGGCACAAUACAUAGCCUUUCAAUAAUAACUUGCGACAGCAAAACAGAACAAAAUUGUAACAGCUUUGAAUGCAAGAAAUCCUGUGUCGAAAUUAAACACUAUCUAGUUGGUCGGUGUAUUCCCGCAAGAGGUUGUUGCUGCUAUAAUAAUGAUAGAUUAACUUAAGUGCUCUUCUCAUUAUGUUUGUUCACAUGUAUUUUGAACAAACACAUCUUUUUAUGUAUUCCGUGAUAAAAAUAAACAAGUGGAGAAUUAA